rnacentral:lncRNA from 1 species
UUAGGGAGUCUGGUCGAUCAAGAGAGGAGGGGGGCGACAGGGGUUCUCCAAAACCCUAAGUUUCACACCAAAAUCUCUUCAAUUGAAGCCCCAAAUCAGUUCCAAAUCAAGCUCUAAUCACAUAUUAGUAAACACCUCGUUGUAAGGAUCAAAAGGUUAAUUGUGAAACAUGAGAAAUUCAGCUUGAUUGUUGAUGCAUGGCUGAAAUUAGAAGGAGUGCAAAGAGUCCGGUUCAUCUAGCGGACAAGCCGGAGGGAGUUCACGAGGAAAAGACGCGCUCUAAAAGUUCUCAGGUACUCAAGUAAAGGAUGAAGGUUAAGCAAGCGAGCCGAACCGAACACACAAUCUUUUAGAACGCUUCCGCAAUUAUGACUUUUGUUUUAGAUACUAAGUAAACUAAUGGUAGUUACCGUCUUGUAUGGGAUUUUAUAACAACAAUACAUGUAUGUUGUAAUAUUUUGGGUUUAUACUAUGAAAGUUUUUGUAAAGUCGUCAUUUUGGCGUUAAAUGCAAGGUUUUUAGGUUGUUAAAUUUGGUAAUAUAAACUGGGUCUUACAAGUUGGUAAUCAGAGCUUAAGGUUGC